rnacentral:rRNA from 4 species
AGCUAAUAGACGGAUAGCUUGGUUUGGACUGUGAUGAAGGACGUGGCAAGCUGCGAUAAGCCUCGGCGAGGUGCAUGCGACCAUUGAACCGAGGAUUUCCUAAUGCGAUAACGUUUUAUGUAGAGAUGCAGAUGGACGCCGGGAAUUGAAACAUCUUAGUACCGGCAGGAAAAGAAAGCAAUUGCGAUUCCCUUACUAGCAGCGAGCGAAAAGGGAACAGGGCGAACCGAAUCUGCUCUUGAAAGAGAGUUAGAGAUGUGGUGGAUGCUAAACCUAAGUCAUCGAGAAAAAGUUUUCUGGAAAGAAAUACCAUAGAGGGUGAUAGUCCCGUAUUUGAAGAUGAUAUGGCAGGCUCCGAAAGAGUAGGGCCUCCUAGAUUGGAGGUCUGAAUACAGGUAGAUUAAUACCUAACCCUAAAUAUUAGUCCAAGUCCGAUAGCGAACUUAGUACCGCGAGGGAAAGCUGAAAAGUACUCUUGAAAGAGGGUUAAAAGACUUGAAAUCUAUUAGUGACAUGAUGGUUACGGCAUUACGGUGUUGUAACGUACGUUUGGAAAAAUGGGCCAAGGAGUUCUCUUAUUUGGCGAGGUUAAAUUGAAUCCAUAGCGAAAGCGAGUGUGAAAGCGCGUUAGUCAAAUGGGGGAUGACCCGAAACCGGACGAUCUAUUCGUGGACAAGCUGAAGUUUCCCGAAAGGGGAAUGGAGGGCUGAAGCGUUGUUGUGUGCAUGCACUCGUAUGAUCUGCGAAUAGGGGUGAAAAGCCUAUCUAGUUCGGCGAUGGCUGGUUCCUGCCGAAAUAUGCCUAAGUAUAGUCUCGCACAGUUUGUUAGCGGGGUAAAGUACGGAUAGAGUUUGCCAGGGCCGAAAGGUUACGGAGCUUCUUCCAACUCAGAACCUGUUAAUUGCGUAAUGCGGGAAUGGCGGGCAGUGCGUAAGGUACUGUUCGAAGACCGGAACAACGGAGAGUGGAGUUAAGGUCCCUAAUUGUUUGCUAAGUGUAACAAACUUUGUCGGAAACCUAAGACAGCGAGGAUGUAGGCCCAGAAGCAGCCAUCAUUUAAAGAAAGCGUAACAGCUCACUUGUUGAGGUUUCUGGCGGGAAAAAUGGACGGGGCUAAGCAAACAACCGAUACUCCACCAGCUCUAGCAAUAGAGUUUGGGUAGGCAGGCGUGGAUUCUGCGCAGAAGGUUUUGUGAAAGCAAGGCUGGAGCGGGAUCCAAUGAGAAUCUUGGCGGUAGUAAGAUCAGAUUACACUGAGAAUGUGUAGCGCCGGAAGAGCAAGGUUUCCUUGGCACUAUUGUUUAACCAAGGGUUAGUCGGCACCUAAGCCAUAUCUUAACUGCGUAUGGCGAAUGGAAAUCAGGUUAAUAUUCCUGGACCGAUUAUAUUUGUAUGCGUUUCACUUCGGGAUAGACGGGAGCUUGAAAGGGCUUUUAAACAAGAAAGUUAUGGAUCGUAAUGAUAAGAAGUUACUGAAUUGUUUGACGAAAACCGUUGAAUCCGGGGGUCCGUGAAAGAGCGUAUGCUUAUGAUAUAAUUGGCCGUACCCAGAAUCGGCACUGAUGCUCUGGCUUAGAAGGCUAAGGCGUGAAAGGAUAAACUAAUUCAGGGAAUUCGGCAAUUUGGCCCCGUAUCUUCGGUAUAAGGGGUGUCUAUAGGUGUCUUUGAAUAUAGAAGGCGUUUGUAGAUCGCAGUGACAAGGACUGCCCGACUGUUUACCAAAAACGUAGCUGGUUGCAAAUCCGAAAGGACUAGUAUAACCGGUGAGAUCUGCCCAGUCACGGUGUUUCAAACCCUGGUUCAACAGGGCUAAGACCCGUGAAACGGCGGGCCUAACUAUGAGGCUCUUAAGGUAGCGUAAUGCCUUGUCGUUUGAAUGGCGACGUGCAUGAAUGGUUUAACGAGGUAGUCGCUGUCCCGAAUUAGGACCUUCUGAACACACUUGAUGGUGAAGAUGCCAUCGUCUCCUAGUGGGAAGCGGAGACCUUGUGAACCUUUACUGCAACUUGUUGCUGUGGUCUUAGGAAGAGUGCAUAGCAUAGGUAGGAGCGUCGAAACCAAGUUUCUGGACUUGGUGGAGCGACCGUGUAAUACUACCCACCCUUCUUGAGGCUACUCACCCGAGAGGGGACACCAGCAGGCGGGCAGUUUGGCUGGGGCGGCACCCUGCAGAAAAGAUAUCUGUAGGGCCCAAAGACAAGCUCAUCCAGGUUGGAAAUCUGGAGUAGAGUGCGAAGGCAAAAGCUUGUCUGACUGUAUUUCGAACAGCAAGAAAUGCAGAGGUGAAAGCCGGGCUUAGCGACCCCACAUAGCCUCUUAAUAGGGCUUGUGUGUGACAGAAAAGGUACUCCAAGGAUAACAGGCUUGUCGCCCCCGAUAGUCCAUAUUGACGGGGCGGUUUGGUACAUCGCUGUCGGCUCUUCCUAUCCUGGUUGUGCAUAAGCAACCAAGGGUGUCGGAGUUCACGCGUUAAAAGGGAUCGUUAGCUGGGUUAAGAACGUUGCGAGACAGUUUGUAUGAUAUCUACUAGGAGUGUUGUGGUUUGAGUGGAACGAGCAAGUAGUACGAGAGGAACCUUGCUUGGAUGCCUCUGGUGAGCGGUUGUUACGAGCAGGCCGCGCAGCUACGCAUUGUGUGGAUAAGUGCUGAAAGCAUCUAAGCACGAAGCCAUCCGCAAGACGAGACCACAUAGGCCGUUAUAGAAGAUAACGUUGAUAGAGUUGGUGUGUAAGAACCGAGGUAACGAGGUUUUAAGCAUGCAACUACUAAUAGCC